rnacentral:rRNA from 1 species
UUCGAAUCAUCAUGAGAGGUACAGCCUGCCCAGUGACCAAAUGUUCAACGGCCGCGGUAUCCUAACCGUGCGAAGGUAGCGUAAUCACUUGUUCUUUAAAUGAGGACUAGUAUGAAUGGCAUCACGAGGGUUAUACUGUCUCCUUUUUCCAAUCAGUGAAACUAAUCUCCUCGUGAAGAAGCGAGGAUUAUUUUAUAAGACGAGAAGACCCUAUGGAGCUUUAAACUAACCAGCAUUUGCUAUAUAACAUAAUUUUUCAGAAACCCAAAAAACAAUUUAGCUCUUUGACUAUAAGUUUUAGAUUGGGGUGAUUACGGAACAAAAAAUAACCUCCGUGCCGAAAGGACUCUUCCUGAGCCAAAAGUGACAACCUUAAGCACUAAAAAAUUAACGCUUAUUGACCCAAUAAUUUGAUCAACGAAC